CGGCUACACCAGUUGCAGAGCCAGGCGGGACCUGAGGGUCAAGAGAGGCAGCAGCUAGAAGCCGGUGAGUGCCAGCCAGGACCAUCCAGUCGGACUCUAAAGAGAGAGUCAGGAGAGAUUGCUGGAGGCCCCACAGAAGGGGCUCAGCAAGCACCAGCAGAGAUGGCAGAUUUCCAGUCUUCCCAAGUUGUAAAUAUUGGGGGAGGCAUCCCUUUUGAACUUCUCUCAGAAAGCAACUGGCUGAGUUGGUCAAUUAAAAUGCAGCAGUUGUUAAGGAGAGAUGGACUAUGGGACUGUGUUGAAACUGAGGUUUUGAGACGGGACUCUGCUGAGAAAA